rnacentral:rRNA from 1 species
UUUUAUGAGAGUUUGAUCCUGGCUCAGGACGAACGCUGGCGGCGUGCCUAAUACAUGCAAGUCGAACGCUUCUUUUUCCACCGGAGCUUGCUCCACCGGAAAAAGAAGAGUGGCGAACGGGUGAGUAACACGUGGGUAACCUGCCCAUCAGAAGGGGAUAACACUUGGAAACAGAUGCUAAUACCGUAUAACAAU